CCUACGGGAGGCAGCAGUCGGGAAUCUUGCACAAUGGGCGAAAGCCUGAUGCAGCAACACCGUGUGUGUGACGAAGGCCUUCGGGUCGUAAAGCACUGUUGUUGGGGACGAAGGGUUAGGGGUUAAUAGCCCCGAGCCUGACGGUACCCUUCGAGGAAGCCCCGGCUAACUACGUGCCAGCAGCCGCGGUAAU
rnacentral:rRNA from 1 species